rnacentral:sRNA from 1 species
AUAUGUUAUGUGUUUGAUUGAGCAUAAGAACUAGAACCGCAACAUCUUCCCAAAAGCUAAA